rnacentral:rRNA from 1 species
GACGAACGCUGGCGGCGUGCUUAACACAUGCAAGUCGAACGGAAAGGCCCUGCUUUUGUGGGGUGCUCGAGUGGCGAACGGGUGAGUAACACGUGAGUAACCUGCCCUUGACUUUGGGAUAACUUCAGGAAACUGGGGCUAAUACCGGAUAGGAGCUCCUGCUGCAUGGUGGGGGUUGGAAAGUUUCGGCGGUUGGGGAUGGACUCGCGGCUUAUCAGCUUGUUGGUGGGGUAGUGGCUUACCAAGGCUUUGACGGGUAGCCGGCCUGAGAGGGUGACCGGCCACAUUGGGACUGAGAGACGGCCCAGACUCCUACGGGAGGCAGCAGUGGGGAAUAUUGCACAAUGGGCGGAAGCCUGAUGCAGCAACGCCGCGUGCGGGAUGACGGCCUUCGGGUUGUAAUCCGCUUUCGCCUGUGACGAAGCGUGAGUGACGGUAAUGGGUAAAGAAGCACCGGCUACCUACGUG